GAUGGAGAACGUAGCGAAAUGCGAUAAGUAAUGUGAAUUGCAGAAUUCAGUGAAUCAUCGAGUCUUUGAACGCACAUUGCGCCCCCUGGUAUUCCGGGGGGCAUGCCUGUCCGAGCGUCAUUGCUGCCCUCAAGCACGGCUUGUGUGUUGGGCCCCGCCCCCCGGCUCCCGGGGGGCGGGCCCGAAAGGCAGCGGCGGCACCGCGUCCGGUCCUCGAGCGUAUGGGGCUUCGUCACCCGCUCCGUAGGCCCGGCCGGCGCCCGCCGGCGACCCCCCUCAAUCUUUUCAGGUUGACCUCGGAUCAGGUAGGGAUACCCGCUGAACUUAAGCAUAUCAAUAAGCGGAGGA
rnacentral:misc_RNA from 1 species